rnacentral:misc_RNA from 1 species
UUUCCGUAGGUGAACCUGCGGAAGGAUCAUUACCGAAUUGUCAAACGGGUUGUUGCUGGUCUUCAAACGGGGACAUGUGCACGCUCUGUUUACACAUCCACUCACACCUGUGCACCCUCCGUAGUUCUAUGGUCUGGGGGACCCUGUCUUCCUGGCGUGGUUCUACGUCUUUACACACACUCUGUAAUAAAGCCUUAUGGAAUGUAUGCCGCGUCUAACGCAAUACAAUACAACUUUCAGCAACGGAUCUCUUGGCUCUC